UACGUAGGGUGCAAGCGUUAAUCGGAAUUACUGGGCGUAAAGCGUGCGCAGGCGGUUAUGCAAGACAGAUGUGAAAUCCCCGGGCUCAACCUGGGAACUGCAUUUGUGACUGCAUGGCUAGAGUACGGUAGAGGGGGAUGGAAUUCCGCGUGUAGCAGUGAAAUGCGUAGAUAUGCGGAGGAACACCGAUGGCGAAGGCAAUCCCCUGGACCUGUACUGACGCUCAUGCACGAAAGCGUGGGAGCAAACAGGG
rnacentral:rRNA from 1 species